rfam:Brachypodium distachyon strain Bd21 chromosome 1, whole genome shotgun sequence.
CACAUACUCCCUCCGUCCUAUAUUAAGUGACUCAAAUUGCCCAAACAUGGAUGUAUCUAUGCCUAAAAAGCGUCUAGAUACAUGUAAUAGAAAGUCACUUAAUAUGGGACGGAGGGAGUAUAUG